rnacentral:rRNA from 1 species
UACGAAGGGGGCUAGCGUUGCUCGGAAUGACUGGGCGUAAAGGGCGCGUAGGCGGCGAUCAAGGUCAGAUGUGAAAUUCCUGGGCUUAACCUGGGGGCUGCAUUUGAUACGUGGUGGCUUGAGUGCGGAAGAGGGUCGUGGAAUUCCCAGUGUAGAGGUGAAAAUUCGUAGAUAUUGGGAAGAACACCGGUGGCGAAGGCGGCGACCUGGUCCGUGACUGACGCUGAGGCGCGAAGGUCAGGGGAGCAAACGGG